rnacentral:lncRNA from 1 species
AGAAAGGAAAAAGAAGGGAGUAAUUCUUACCUAGUAAAUCUGGGGUUUUUUUUUAACAUAAAAAUGAAAUUACAUGUGAACAGGAACAAAGAUAAUGUCCAAGUCUACUUAAACAUUAUAUAACCCAACAGGAUAAUAUCCACCUGAUAUACACUGAGCCAUACAGUUAAAGCUUUAAUAUUAAAUAACUAUGACAGAGAUCCUCUCCUUUCUCCUCCCUAUCCUAACACCCUCUCUUUGUAACAGAGAAAGGUAGUCUUUAAAACAGUUUCCAAUAGAGAACAAUUUUGAAAUUCAACAUUGUUUCAUAGGAGACAGCACUAUGCAGAAUAAACAGAAUGUGGCAUUCAUUGUUCUUUCAAAAAUCCAACUUGCUCACCCCCCUCUUCCAUCCUCCCGCGGCGAGCGUUUUCACCCAGGUUCUUAAAAACAUGCCUGCUUCAGGUGGCUGGUCACUUUAUCAAAUAAAAGGUGGCAGACUUUGCCAAUUUCCUUUCCCUACUCUGAAUUAAUAAGCCUGGCUCACAGAGCAGUAAAAUUUUAUUUCCACCAAGCAAAUACAGAUUGCUUUCUCCUUGGCUGCUGCUUAAAAGUCUCAUUCUCACUUGUGUCCAGAGCACGCACCUAUAUUCCUGCAGCACUAAUGCUGACCAGUGGCCCAAUGGAGAAGAAAUGUUGCAAGCCAGACAAACCAGAGGACCACCAGUUCAUUCUCAAGGACACAAAGGGAAAGAAUAGGUGUGGAAUCACAGGACUGGAGGAGGACAGAAUCAGGCUAUAAUGAAAGGAAGGAAGUUGGCCAAGAUGACCAAGAAGGUGGGAUUUAACGAAGAGAGGAGACUGCGGAAACACUGAUCUCACUGCAAAGGUAGAGAGAAAGGUUUGUUGCAAGAUAUCUGAGUGUAUGAGUCAGAGAGCUGCUAGCUCCAGGGACAGGGCUGCCCCCAAAUUUAAUUCUGGCCUAGAGUCAGCGCCAAAAGGGGUGAGAUGUCUCUACCCACCAGCUCUAAGAACUAGUCAUACAGCCUGAGGGAAAAAGAGGUCAGAAAUGAAAAUGUCUGACAUGCAUAUUAAAUUGCAUUAAACUGUAUUCAGCGACUAGGCAAAGCUCCAGUAAUUCACAGACCAAGAAGAUAUGGGUUACAGAUCAAACUCCCUCACCUUUUCAUAAGACAGUGUCAGUGGUGAAAACAGCAGGUGGAGUCCUGAAUGAGACUGUGGGGCUGCAGCCUGUCGAGGAGAUAGACCUUUAUUUAUUAUUAUUUUUUUAGAGAGUUCGUUUUCUGUGGGUUUUUUUUUUUAAGUUUAUUUACUUAUUUUGGAAGAGAGAGGGCACAAGUGAGGGAGUGGCAGAGAGAGAGGCAGAGAGAAAGAAUCCCAAGCAGAUUCCGCACUGUCAGCACAGAGCCCGACACGGGGCUCGAAGUCACAAACUGAGAUCACAACCUGAGCCAAAGUCAGACACUUAACCAACUGAGCCACCCAGGUGCCCCUGAGAGAUAGACCUUUAAUUCCUCGGGUCAUGUGGUAGAAAACUCAAGAGGACACGUUAGGGACCCAUUGCCUAAAACACAGACGCCUAAAGACAUUCUCAGUAACAUUCCUCAGUAACAUCUGGGGCACCAUUUUCAUAUAUUGUGUUUUGAAAUGAUAACCCACAUGCCUAAAUAGGAAGAGAGGCAUAAGGUAAAUAUCAUAGGUCACCAGAUGAUGUUCCUAUGUGAUCCUUAUAGUCAUUUUUUCACCUGCUGGGGCUCAGUCAACUCAUAAAACCCUUGUACUCAUACAGUGCUUUAUUGUGAACAAAGUACUCUAGUUUUAUUUCAUUGGAUUAUUUCCUCAAGUCCUUGUGAGCAGAGAUGCCCUAAAGGCCCAAGCCUAGGAGAAGUAAGGUGUCCACCAAGAAGGAAGUCACUCUGGAAGCUCUCAGCUGUGCCAGUUAAGGUCCAUGCAGUACUCUGAGGCUGUUAUCACUCCUGGAUUCAAAGAUCGAGCAGGCAGAGCAGUGACUGGAACCCAGAAGGGAAAGUGUCAUACAGAGAAAGGGUUGCCUUGAGAAGACAGAAAGCCAAGGAAAUAAACCUCUGGCUUCAUUCUACCCCCUUCCUUUG